GACGAAGGGUGCAAGCGUUACUCGGAAUUACUGGGCGUAAAGCGUGCGUAGACGGUUAUUUAAGUCAGGUGUGAAAGCCCCGGGCUCAACCUGGGAAUUGCAUUUGAGACUGAAUAGCUAGGGUGCGGAAGAGGGAAGCGGAAUUUCCGGUGUAGCGGUGAAAUGCGUAGAUAUCGGAAGGAACACCAGUGGCGAAAGCGGCUUCCUGGUCCAGCACCGACGUCAGGCACGAAAGCGUGGGGAGCAAACAGG
rnacentral:rRNA from 1 species